rnacentral:tRNA from 1 species
GCCCGCAUGAGGUAGCUUGGAUAUCCUGAGGGCUUGCGGAGCCUUCUACUUGGGUUCGAAUCCCAAUGCGGGCG